GCGGCGGGCGCUGGGGCGGGCGGUUGCGGCGCCGACCGCAGCGAAGCUGCCGCCCUCCGGCGUGCCCGGCCCUGGCCUGCUCCGGCCGCCGCCCUGAAGCCUGAAGCAGCCGCUCGGCGAGUUGUGCUCGCCGGAGUGCCAAGGCCGCCGCAGCGGGGGUGCGGCAGCAAAUGGAGUUGGAAAUGAAUUUGUUUUUGGUUUUGAGAAUCUUCAAUCUGGACUUUGCCAUGCUGUUGCUCUGCAAACAGAAGGGCGUCACAUGAAUUCUCAGGCUACAAAUGUGAUAUAACAUCAGGUGACUGUCUCCAUUGUCUCCACUCCUAGAAGCAUGGAUGUUUAAGAAGUGGAAAACAGCAGCCUGAAGUGUGGAGUACAAGUGCACUUAGAAACACUUGCAUAACCCUUCCUGCUCCUCAGAAACACCGUGGUUCAGAUUCAUACCUGUGACUUAACAUCAUGCUGAAAAAUUAAUUUUAGUAAACGAGAGGAGUCUUGGUGAAAAUAUGUGAAUAAGGCCUGAACAAAGUGUUGGUGUAAAAAUUAUCUCGUUUAACCUGGACUAAUGUUGGAGCCCAACAGCAGUUGACAAAUACCAAAUGUGCCAGCAUAAAGGAGAGAUGCUUAGUGCUGGCCUGCGGUCUAAUUAUGUGUUGCACUGAGACUCAUCACAGGAAAGUCUUAUCUGAAAGAUUUUUCUUCUAAUAUCAGUCCUUUUUGCCAGUAGAAAUUCUGUAUUUUCAGUUGACAAAUGGUAAUAUAGUGCACUUUGCAACAAAUUGAGAUGAAAAUUGUUUUUAAUGUGACAAAAUAUGAAAAUGGUUUAUCCAAGACUAAAGUUAGUUACAGUAUUUACCAUGCUUUAAGGUGAGAGAUGAUUCAAGUAAUAAGAUGGCAAUCAAUGCAUCUUCUUCAAGUACUUUUUUUCUUAAACUUAAUUUAGUAUGAGCCUUAGACAGUGAAAUCCUAAGAAAUGAAUAUAAGCAUGUCAGAUGUAGCUCAGAAAAUACGGCAGAAAUGAAUUUAACAUGUAUUGCCCUUUCAAGCAUUUCAGUAAACUGAAAGCUAACUGCAGUGCUUUUUUUUCCAGACUGCAGCUGUGUAAACUUCUCAUGAAUACUGUCCAGUUAUAUUUGUCACUGACAAAAAACAAGACCAAAUUGAAUUUAUUAUGCUGGCUCUUUUAAAGAACUGAACUAGUUUUAUCAAUGGUAAAAUCCCAUUGAUGGUGGUGGGAGUAUGGUGAGAAAGAAUUGUUAGGAAGUGAAUAUUGUCAGAUUUAAAAACAAGCAAUCAGAGUACAAGAAGAGAAUCUUUUGAGUGCAGUAAUAGUAUACCACUACCAAGUAUAAUGCAUUUCUAAAUUAUUAAGUAUUAUUUGUUACCUCCUCAUAAUCCUGUGUUCUGAACUGUUGUGAGACUCUGUACAGCAUUGCUUCAGGAUUAAUGGCUUUUUUCAAGAUAUGAUGCACGAGAGGAAAAGACAGUUGACAAGAAGGAAAUUCAUUGUAUAUCAAAAGCCCAAAAACAUCUAGAAGGUUAGGUGAAAUCAAACUCAAGUCCUAAAGAGAAGACCCAAAGAGAGAAAACAGCCUAUUUAUUUUGGACUUUCUACCUGUAGAAACAUUGGAGACUGGAAAAAAAAAAUCUGAAAUGUGCAGUAUGCAUGCUGAGUGCUGCAAGAUUGUCUAAUAAAACAUCUGUAAUAUAAGCAGUACAAUUUUGUUUCAAUAGUAUUUGUAGAAAGCUAUUCCAAACAAAAUAAAAGACAAAUCUGCUUUUUGGAAAUUAGCUAAUUUUAGAAGAUACUUGAUUUAAAGUAACUUAAUUUGUGGCUUUAAGGGGAAAAACAAGCAAAUUUGAUUGUUUUCAUUACUUCACAGGUUGAAAUAACCAUAAAUACAAAUGACUGCUAUGCUACAGUUACUGUUGUAACAGGGCAUGUGCUUUACCAUCUGUCCAAUUAAAGAGUUAUCCUUUUGUGUAUGUUUCUUUGAGGAAGCAUCCACAUCUACGUAAGACCAAAAGUUAGUCUGAACUGGAAUAGUAACUUGCUGGUCAGCUUCUUCUCCAUACUUCUUCCCAGGAAUGAAUAUUGUUGUUGUUCUGCUCUCCAGCACUGGGACAGGACAAAAUAUGUCAGUUACAUAAUCUGUAGUUUAACUCUAACUUCGGUAAUGCCAAGCACAGGAUCUGAAAACAAUCACAAUUGCGUACCGCCUUGAAUUUUGAUGAUGUUUAUAGAGCUUUGACAUUUCCAGACAGGUGGUUUUGAGGACUGUAUAUUUAGAUUUGAGUGCCUCAAUCAUUUACAAGGCUACAGCAUAAAUCUUAGAAGCUUGAGGAAUCCACUGCUCUUGUUGUUUAGUCUUGCUGAUUUAUAAUUUUGUUAAUUGAUGGAGUCUGUGUAGCAAACAAGCUUACAGGAGCUAUUAUUUUUUUCUCCUCAUUUUGUUAAGACUUGUUAAAAAUAGUUCACAGAUUUCCCCAGCAUUUGAGGGCUAUAAGCUGAGAAAAAUCUAGCUAUAAUUUUGCCCCUUUGUUUCAUGUUUGCUUCUGUCCCCUUGUUUGUUAGUAGACAUGAGAUUACCUGACUGUAGAAAUUCCAGCUUAUCCUUUUUAUAUGAAGCUAAGUCUCCUAUGUAGCAGAUGCCACCCUUAGCCAGCAGAGCACUGCAGGCUUGAAUACUGGCACUUCCAGUUCUGUGUUUAUCUUUGGAUACGGCAGGAAAAAUUUCACUAGAGGAUGGGUGUCGUAUGCCACGAGGCAGAAGACAAAUGCUGUAAUUCAGAAGCCUGGAGGAUUAAAAAAUUCUGUCAGUCAUAAACUCUAAAACUGUUUUUCAGAUUUACAAAACUUAAACAACUUAAUAUUAUUUUAUAAUGAUAGUUCAGCCUUGAGAAGCACACACAUUGUUCAGUUAGAAACCACCUUCCCCAAAUAAAAUCUAGUAUCAAAACCUGAAUGUUUAAACUGAUUUUGAGUACAAAGGUAGAAAUCCAUGCUUUCUUUCCUACAGCUACAAAAAGGAACUGUAUUUCUUAUGGAUUUAACAUGAGGCAAAUGAGGAAUUUCUAGGAAAUCAGGACUAUUGUUAACUCUACAGAAACUUUCCCACUGACUGGUAAAGGUAGUGAGUUAAUAAUUUUUUAUCCAUCUAGGAGAAAAUCAAAAGGCUGGGAACUUGCAGGUUCUUCUUGCCUGGGUUACAUCCCCCAAACUUUCUGAGAAAUGAGGGUGUAGGACUUCUUUUUCAUCCUGUAAACUAUGUCCUUGGCCCACAAGGUUGCAAACUGGGCCUGUCUGGCUCCACAGUCCAAGGUUCCUGAUAUUUUUUAGAUGUCAGAGCAGAACUUCUCUGAUUAUUAAUGAAUGGGAGAAAAGUUAUUAAUUAUGUUACAUACACUGGUAUAAAUGUAAUAAUGUAUUAAAAUAACCUACUACAGCAAUAUACAUAUGAUGUAGGAAAUGCUUAUCUUGAUAGACUAAUGACAAUAAAAUGUUAUGAGCACCUACAAGAACUGUCUUGUCUAUAAAUAACAGUAAUUACCAAGGUUUACAGCAUAUAACCAUUUUAAUGUUAACCUAGUAUUUCCAUUCUCAAACCAUUCUGUUAUGAGUUCCUACAAAUUCUUUUUGAAACUUUACUCUUAACCUGGAGGGGAGAAAUCCUUCAGCCCACAGUUUUUCCCCAAUUUUGAAUUCAUUUCUAUGGUUAAUUUUUGAAAUGGUAAAUUUAAUGAAGAAAGCAUUUCUUCUGUUACAGAAGAAUAAAACUGAUCCCUGCUGACGAAUUUUCAAAUGAAAAUAAAAUUCAUGCCAUUUUCAAAAAUCUUUUUAAAAAAGAAAAAUUAAGCCAUGUUUUGUGUUGGGGAAGGAGAAAUUAAUUUUCUUUUUAAUUUAUGUAGAUUUAAAACAGCAUGUGGAAUUGAGAUGCUGUAUUCAACUCGUACUUUCACCAGUGUAUGUGAAGUUAACAGUUUAUAGGGGUGUGAAGGAGUUAAUGCGAAGAAUACCUAAAUACAUAAAAGCAUUUUGUUAACAGUAACAAUAGCUGGUAUGAUCAAUGUGUAAUGGUCUACAUGGCUUUUAAUAUUUUUAUCAUUGUAGUUCCUAGGCAAAAGUAACUGCAAAAAAUGCAAUUAUCUAUUUAGGCAUUUUUAUUAACUGAAAAUACUGAAUGCUGGGAAGCUGAUGAUUAAAAAGCAUAAAGGGCUAUUUUUAAAGUAACACAAGAUUUGAAAAGCAGAGACCAUUGCUUUUAUCAUCACCUGCUUCUGGGACUUCAGUUGUGACUUUAGAAAAAAAUCUUAAUUUGUCUUCUGCUAAAAAGUGCUUGUUUUAAAAUCUAAUGGAGAUCAUU